ACACAAUUUAUUUCUUAAACAUUCAUUUUAUUUAUUUGCAAUAUUAUUACUAUUAAGUCCUUUUUACUGAUUAAUUUAAUUAUUGAUGUACUUAUCAAUUGUAAUUCAUGUUUUUUUAAAUAUAAGUUGCACCUUGAUCUAAUUUUUAAUAACUUAAUAUUAUUAAUAUUUUAUCGUUAAGAUUUAUAAAAAUGACGAUAUACAAACUAAUUUAAUUUAAAUUUAAAAAUUCGUGGAUUGUCGAUUAUAAACACAAAUUCCCCUAAUAAGUUUUAAAUUACCGUCAGGUUUUUUAAGUUUUG
rnacentral:rRNA from 1 species